AUGGCCUUUGGUUUGACAAAUGCCCCAGCGACGUUCCAAGCACUCAUGAACGACGUCCUCUGUCCCUACCUUCGUCGGUUUGUGCUUGUGUUCUUUGAUGAUAUCUUGAUCUACAGCUCGUCCUGGUCGGAUCACCUACGUCAUGUUAAGCUCGUUUUGGAGGCUAUGCGCACACAUCAACUGUUUCUCAAGCGCUCCAAGUGUUCCUUUGGGGAGGAAACCAUGGCUUAUCUGGGACACGUCAUCUCCACUGCAGGAGUUGCCAUGGACAGCGACAAGGUUCUUGCCGUGGUAGACUGGCCGGUUCCGCGCACCGUCCGCGCUGUGCGUGGUUUCUUAGGACUGGCAGGAUACUACCGCAAGUUCAUCCGGGAUUUUGGCACCAUUGCAGCUCCCCUCACGGCACUCCUCAAGAAAGACGGAUUUCUUUGGACGCCUGCAGCGACUAUUGCCUUUGAAGCCCUCAAGAAAGCUCUUACCACAGCCCCUGUGCUUCAGCUGCCGGAUUUUGCUGUUUCAUUCAUUGUGGAGUGUGAUGCAUCUGGAUCUGGUUUCGGGACAGUCCUGCAUCAAGGUGGCGGCCCCAUUGCCUAUUUCAGCAAAACCAUCGCUCCGCGUCAUGCUUCUCUCGCCGCUUAUGAGCGGGAGCUCAUUGGUCUGGUGCACGCCGUGCGCCACUGGCGGCCCUAUCUUUGGGGACGUGCGUUCGUCGUCAAAACUGACCACUACAGCCUAAAGUUUUUGCUGGACCAACGCCUCGCUACCAUUCCACAACAUCAUUGGGUGGGCAAACUGUUGGGGUUCGACUUCACGGUGGAAUAUAAACCAGGUCGCCAAAACAUCGUCGCCGAUGCUCUUUCUCGCCGUGAUGCUCCUGCCGGCCAGGCACUUGCCAUAUCCGGGCCUUCUUUUGAUCUGUUUGAAGCUCUCUGCCAGGCUGCACACACGGACCCGGCGCUUGUCACUUUCCGGGAACAACCAGAAUCUGGUAAGUUAGGACAGCCUUGGGCUCUUGUUGAUGGUGUUGUUACCUUCCAACAGCGGGCUUAUGUACCACCCGUGUCGCUGCUGCUCGGGGAGGUCCUGGCUGCAGCCCAUGAUGCGGGCCAUGAAGGUAUCCAGAAGUCACUUCAUCGUCUUCGCCGGGAUUUCCAUCUGCCGCAAGCAAGGGCCGCACUUCAGCAGUAUAUUCGUGCUUGUCAGGUUUGUCAACGCAACAAGACGGGGCAGCUUCAUCCAGCCGGCUUAUUGCAGCCCUUGACAGUGCCCUCUCGUGUCUGGGAAGACAUCUCCAUGGAUUUCAUUGAGGCACUUCCAAAGGUGGGCGGCAAAAGUGUGAUACUGACCGUUGUGGACCGUUUCUCCAAGUAUGCGCAUUUCAUCCCCUUGGCGCAUCCGUACACUGCGGAGUCUGUUGCUAAAGCCUUCUUCUCCAACAUUGUCCGACUUCAUGGGUUUCCCACAUCCAUCGUUUCGGACAGGGAUGUGGUUUUCACUUCGGGCUUUUGGAAGGCUCUGUUUGCCGCCGUGGGGACACGCUUGCACAUGAGUUCGGCCUUCCAUCCGCAGUCUGAUGGGCAAUCUGAGGCUGUCAAUUGCGUCAUCACCAUGUACCUCCGUUGCAUAACCAGGGAUCGCCCACGGCAGUGGCUCCAAUGGUUGCCUUGGGCAGAGUACUGCUACAACACUUUGUACCACUCAGCGUUGAAGGACACGCCUUUCAGGGUGGUUUAUGGACGGGAUCCCCCCUCAUUCUGGGACUAUACGCCGGGCGAGAUUCGCAAUCAGGCGGUGGAACGGCAGAUCGUCGACCGCGAUCAGUUCUUACACGACAUCCGUGAGUGUCUCCUUCAGGCAGCACAACAGUACAAGCAUUACUAUGAUGAUAAGCAUCGGGCCCUUUCUUUUGAUGUUGGAGAGUGGGUUUGGCUCCGUCUUCAGCACCGGUCGGUGCCAUUCCUUGGAAUAGGCGCCAAAGGGAAAUUGGCUCCCAAAUAUUAUGGGCCUUUCAAAGUCCUCACUAAAAUUGAUAUGGUUCCUUACCGUUUGGAGCUGCCCCCACGCGCCCGCAUUCACAAUGUUUUCCAUGUCGGGGUCCUGAAGAAGUACCAUGGCCCACCGCCGGAAGUUCCGCCGAUGCUUCCACCUCUGUUUCAGGGUCGAGUACAUCCAACCCCUGUCCAAGCAUUGCGUGCUCGUAUAGCCCGCGGUAUCUAG
rnacentral:rRNA from 1 species